rnacentral:misc_RNA from 1 species
AUUUGCAGUUCUAUUUUUUCUGUCAAUUUAGUGCUUGCAAAUUCAUUCUGAGGGAGAUCAGAAUUUGUAACCUUAAGAUCACCAAAAUUGGUAGUCUUUCCUUCAGCAAAAGCAUAUAGUUUUGUUCGAGACCCAAGAUGAAUACUGAACCUGUUCAAACCUUCCAAGCUUCUAAGAAGAAAUAAGAUAUCAUAAGUUGGACUUGAUUUCUCAAGAUCAACCAUUUCAGAACCGAACAUGCUAGAGAAAGAUGGGGUGAACUGCCACCAUGCUGUAGAUUUCUCAGAUGACGUAGAAUGUACAGCAUGUUUGCAACUGUGAGGACAUCCUGGUUUAUGUCUCACAAAUUUUCUGUAGGUCACCCUGUGUACUUGACUCCACACGCUUGAAUUAGUAGUGAUGUCAUUCUCUGCUUUAAUCUGCCGCAGGAGUAGAGUUUGAUAUAGGGUCAACUUGUGGUUCAACUUCUGUCCCUCCAGGUAGAAUAUCAAUUUAGGUGCAACAUUUUCAUCAUCACAACAUCCAGUACAUUCCAAACUUGUACUACUAUCAUCUUCAGAUGAAUUCAGUCUUCCUUUCUUCAAUAACUCUGCAUUAACAUCUGAAAUAUCCAUUGGGACACUCUUUGUUUGUUCUACAUCCACAGUUUCCACUUCAGCAAAUAAUUGCAAGUUAUUCUUCACAACCUGUGUUUCAUGAGAAUCUGUUGAAGUGGUGUCCGAUUCCAUGGGUCCUGGAUUUUUACCUUGAGACGUGCUUACAUCUUGUGAUGCACGAGAUGGUGACUCUUCCUCCAAAUCCAGAGUGG